rnacentral:tRNA from 1 species
GUGCCUAUGGUGUAAUGGCAGCACUAGAGCUUGUGGAGCUCUCAGUACGGGUUCGAACCCCGUUAGGCACC